UACGGGGGGGGCAAGCGUUGUUCGGAAUUACUGGGCGUAAAGGGCUCGUAGGCGGCCAACUAAGUCAGACGUGAAAUCCCUCGGCUUAACCGGGGAACUGCGUCUGAUACUGGAUGGCUUGAGGUUGGGAGAGGGAUGCGGAAUUCCAGGUGUAGCGGUGAAAUGCGUAGAUAUCUGGAGGAACACCGGUGGCGAAGGCGGCAUCCUGGACCAAUCCUGACGCUGAGUGAGCGAAAGCCAGGGGAGCAAACGGG
rnacentral:rRNA from 1 species